UACGUAGGGUGCAAGCGUUAAUCGGAAUUACUGGGCGUAAAGCGUGCGCAGGCGGUUAUGCAAGACAGAGGUGAAAUCCCCGGGCUCAACCUGGGAACUGCCUUUGUGACUGCAUAGCUAGAGUACGGUAGAGGGGGAUGGAAUUCCGCGUGUAGCAGUGAAAUGCGUAGAUAUGCGGAGGAACACCGAUGGCGAAGGCAAUCCCCUGGACCUGUACUGACGCUCAUGCACGAA
rnacentral:rRNA from 1 species